AGCCGAAUUAAGGUGAACCGCGAAAGGCUCAUUAAAUCAGUUAUGGUUCCUUAGAUCGUAUCCACAUUUACUUGGAUAACUGUGGUAAUUCUAGAGCUAAUACAUGCAAACAGAGCUCCGACCGGAGACGGAAGGAGCGCUUUUAUUAGAUCAAAACCAAUCGGCGGCGGGUUCGCCCGUCGUCGUACCCACUGGUGAAUCUGAAUAACUUUGCUGAUCGCAUGGUCUCGCACCGGCGACGCAUCUUUCAAAUGUCUGCCUUAUCAACUGUCGAUGGUAGGUUCUGCGCCUACCAUGGUUGUAACGGGUAACGGGGAAUCAGGGUUCGAUUCCGGAGAGGGAGCCUGAGAAACGGCUACCACAUCCAAGGAAGGCAGCAGGCGCGCAAAUUACCCACUCCCGGCACGGGGAGGUAGUGACGAAAAAUAACGAUACGGGACUCAUCCGAGGCCCCGUAAUCGGAAUGAGUACAAUCUAAACCCUUUAACGAGGAUCAAUUGGAGGGCAAGUCUGGUGCCAGCAGCCGCGGUAAUUCCAGCUCCAAUAGCGUAUAUUAAAGUUGUUGCGGUUAAAAAGCUCGUAGUCGAAUCUGUGUCCCGCGCCGCCGGUUCAUCGCUCGCGGUGUUUAACUGGCGUGUCCGCGGGACGUCCUGCCGGUGGGCCCUACCCGAAAGGGUGGCCCAACUCAAUCCCACCGCGGUGCUCUUCACUGAGUGUCGAGGUGGGCCGGCACGUUUACUUUGAACAAAUUAGAGUGCUUAAAGCAGGCUAAAACUUCGCCUGAAUACCGUGUGCAUGGAAUAAUGGAAUAGGACCUCGGUUCUAUUUUGUUGGUUUUCGGAACCCCGAGGUAAUGAUUAAUAGGAACGGAUGGGGGCAUUCGUAUUGCGACGUUAGAGGUGAAAUUCUUGGAUCGUCGCAAGACGAACAGAAGCGAAAGCAUUGCCAAAAACGUUUUCAUUGAUCAAGAACGAAAGUUAGAGGUUC
rnacentral:rRNA from 1 species